rnacentral:rRNA from 1 species
CCUACGGGUGGCAGCAGUGGGGAAUCUUGCACAAUGGGCGAAAGCCUGAUGCAGCAACGCCGCGUGAGGGACGAAGGCUUUUGAGUUGUAAACCUCUUUCAGCAGGGACGCGGUACCUGCAGAAGAAGCCCCGGCCAACUACGUGCCAGCAGCCGCGGUAAUACGUAGGGGGCAAGCGUUGUCCGGAUUUAUUGGGCGUAAAGAGCUCGUAGGCGGCUUGGCAAGUCGGAUGUGAAACCUCCAGGCUCAACCUGGAGUCGCCAUUCGAUACUGCUAGGCUUGAGUUUGGUAGGGGACCACGGAAUUCCUGGUGUAGCGGUGAAAUGCGCAGAUAUCAGGAGGAACACCAGCGGCGAAGGCGGUGGUCUGGGCAAACUGACGCUGAGGAGCGAAAGCGUGGGGAGCGAACAGGAUUAGAUACCCUUGUAGUC